rnacentral:rRNA from 1 species
ACUCAAAGGAAUUGACGGGGGCCCGCACAAGCGGUGGAGUAUGUGGCUUAAUUCGAUGCAACGCGAAGAACCUUACCUGGCCUUGACAUGCAUUAGACCGGCUCUGAAAGGAGCCUUUCCUUCGGGACUGGUGCACAGGUGCUGCAUGGCUGUCGUCAGCUCGUGUCGUGAGAUGUUGCGUUAAGUCGCGCAACGAGCGCAACCCCUGUCCUUAGUUGCCAGCAUUCAGUUGGGCACUCUAGGGAGACAAACCCUCUCUGAGGGUGGGAAGGUGGGGAUGACGUCAAGUCAGGAUGGCCCUUACGGCCAGGGCUGCACACGUACUACAAUGCCCGAUACAGAGGGAUGCAAGACCGCGAGGUGGAGCAAAUCCUGAAAAUCGGGCCCAGUUCGGAUUGUAGUCUGCAACUCGACUACAUGAAGUUGGAAUCGCUAGUAAUGGCGCAUCAGCUACGGCGCCGUGAAUACGUUCCCGGGCCUUGUACACACCGCCCGU